rnacentral:rRNA from 1 species
GCAGAACGCGAAGAACCUUACCUGGGUUUGACAUGUACGGAAAAGCCACAGAGAUGUGGUGUCCUUUUGGGCCGUACACAGGUGGUGCAUGGUUGUCGUCAGCUCGUGUCGUGAGAUGUUGGGUUAAGUCCCGCAACGAGCGCAACCCUUGUCCUAUGUUGCCAGCGGGUAAUGCCGGGGACUCGUAGGAGACUGCCGGGGACAACUCGGAGGAAGGUGGGGAUGACGUCAAAUCAUCAUGCCCCUUAUGUCCAGGGCUGCAAACAUGCUACAAUGGCCAGUACAAAGGGCUGCUAUACCGCGAGGUUGAGCGAAUCCCACAAAGCUGGUCUCAGUUCGGAUUGGAGUCUGCAACUCGACUCCAUGAAGCUGGAGUUGCUAGUAAUCCCGGAUCAGCAACGCCGGGGUGAAUACGUUCCCGGGUCUUGUACACACCG